rnacentral:lncRNA from 1 species
ACUUAGAAAAAUUUCUAAUACCACUCAAGAUAAAUAAAAAAAUAGACUUGAGGACAAAGUAAUUACUAAGUACAAUAUCAGUUUAAAAGAAGAUAAUCUGCAACUUCUAAUAUGCUUAUGUCUUAUCACGAGAAAGAAGAAAUCCACUCUUAAUCAAGACAAGAUAAAGCUCUAAUACUAUAAGUGUAUUCUUGUUAAUCUGUCAAGGACAUGAACUAAAAGAUGAUACAUUAACUAAUGAAAUCUAUUUCAAAGAAAGGGUGACAAAAUAGAAAUAAAAAAGUAUGUAUAUUAAAAGAAACUAGUAAGGCUUAUUGCCAAAAGACAAAAAAACAUCAGACUCUUAAAACUAGACUAGAAGCAAGAAAGGAGUUGACAAGAGUGAAGAGAGCUUCACUCUU